AAAAAGUUACUGCUUUCUGGCUGGGCGCAGUGGCUCAUUUUCUUGUUUUUAUCUUGUCUCUCCAGUAAGAGUGUAAGCUCCUAGAGGACAGGGACCAUCCUAUAUUUCUUUCAUAUGCCCUACUAUACAUGGCAUAGUUCUGGGCUUUUAUUCAUUAAUUUAAUAAGCAUUUCUUAAUGAAUAUUUAAUGUACAAUAUUAUGUCAUGGGAUAUAAUAAUUAAUAAGACAAGGUCUUUAAUAGUGUUGAGGCACCUCCAUCCUAAUGCGAGCUAAAGAUACUAGUAUUUAGUAUUUCACUUAGUGCUAUGGAAGACUUUGUAGCAGAUGAUUAAUAUUCUCAGAUCUAUUAAUUACAUAAAUCUGGGCUCUAAGCAGAGUAUGAGCAGGGUGAGUGCCUGGCAAUAAGGGCUCCCAGUCUGCAGCAAUAUCUGAGGUGAGACAUGAUAAAGGACUGAACUAAAGCCCUAGAAAUAGAGUGGGGAUGGAUUCAAGAAGCACUGUGGAAAUGAAAAUCAAAGGGAUUGUGAUGGCUCCAACAUAGAAUAUGAGGUGUAGAAGACAAGGAUGUUCAGGAUGAUUCUGGCCUCUUGUCUGAGUAUUGGUUUAAUAAUAUAAGCCAUUUAGGAAAUAAGAGCCAUGAGGAGAAAAAGCCAGUUUGGAGAUUAAGAUGCCCCUGGGACCUCCAGAAGGAGAUCCCUGUGAAUGGCUGGAAAUUCAGGUCUGGGGCCUAAGGAUUGGAAUUUGGACUAGAGAGAGAAAAAACUGGAAAUUUUAGCAAAUAGUGGUUGUUGAAGCCAUGGGAAUAGAAGAGAUCAGGAUGUGGAAAGAUGAGAAGUAUAAAGUACCUGAGACAGAAAUGUUCAGAGAAGUUAGAGGAGAUGCAGGAAUCAGCAGGCCCCCAGUGUCAGUGUCCAGCAAUAUUAAUGCUGCAGUGAGACCAAUUUGCCAUUAUGUGUUGAAUUCAGCGUUUGAGAGAGUAUUGAAAAGGUGGUCCCUGGCUCAAUAAAUAGCGAUCAGAAUGAAUUGAAUAGAGGGCAAGAAAGGGUCUUUGAAGAUGAAAUAGGGCCUUUUUUUUUUUUUUUUUUUGAGACAGUGUCUUGCUCUGUCGCCCAGGCUGGAGUGCAGUGGCGCAUCUCAGCUCACUGCAACCUCCACCUCUAGGGUUCAAGUGAU
rnacentral:lncRNA from 1 species